rnacentral:lncRNA from 1 species
GUUAGGUUUCCUCAACCAAUUUACUAAAGGUGUUUCAAGAAUUUUAAAAUCAAGUAUGCUACUCUUCAAGUUGUCCUUUGUCCCUUAAACUCAUUUGUUGAAGGCCUAACUCUUAGUAUCUCAGAAGUGACUGUGGAAAUAGAGUCUUUAAAAGAGACAGGUUAAAGUGAGGUUAUUUGGGUGGGAGUCCUAAUCCAGUAUGACUGGUAUCUUUAUAAAAUGAGGAGAUUAGUGUAUAAACACAGAGGGAAAUCCUUGUGAAGACAAAAAAGAGAAAAUGGUCACCUAUAAGCCAAGGAGAGAGGAUGUCAGUCAAAUUUAACCCUGUUGACAUGUUGAUCUUGGUCUUCAGCCUCUAGAAUUCAGAGAAAAUAAAUCUCUAUUUAGUCAUCAUAUCUAUCAUACUUUGUUAUGACUGUGCUGACAAACUCACUCAGCACCUUUAUCUUUAGCAUCAUCACUUUUAUACUUUUUGUCAGCUACAAUGGAUAUAAACUUUUUACUAGAACCUUCACUAUUGGCAGAAAGAUAUAAUGUGGAUUGAUGAAUGACAU